UCGCACACCCAUGCGCCCAGGUCCUGCGCGCCGCCCACGCCUGACUGAGGCCUGCUUGCUACAUAGUGUCAGCC
rnacentral:sRNA from 1 species